rnacentral:rRNA from 1 species
UACGGAGGGUGCAAGCGUUGCUCGGAAUUACUGGGCGUAAAGGGCGUGUAGGCGGUUUCGUAUGUCUGGCGUGAAAGCCCCGGGCUCACCUCGGGAAGUGCGUCGGAAACUGCGAGACUAGAAUCCCGGAGAGGGAGGUGGAAUUCCAGGUGUAGCGGUGAAAUGCGUAGAUAUCUGGAAGAACACCGGUGGCGAAGGCGGCCUCCUGGACGGUGAUUGACGCUGAGACGCGAAAGCGUGGGGAGCAAACAGG